rnacentral:rRNA from 1 species
ACGGAAGGCAGCAGUGGGGAAUAUUGGGCAAUGGGCGAAAGCCUGACCCAGCAACGCCGCGUGAAGGAUGAAGGUCUUCGGAUUGUAAACUUCUUUGAUCAGGGACGAAUUUUGACGGUACCUGAAGAACAAGUCACGGCUAACUACGUGCCAGCAGCCGCGGUAAUACGUAGGUGACAAGCGUUAUCCGGAUUUACUGGGUGUAAAGGGCGUGUAGGCGGUUUUGCAAGUCAGAUGUGAAAUUCCCGGGCUUAACUUGGGCGCUGCAUCUGAAACUGCAGAACUUGAGUACUGGAGGGGAUAGCGGAAUUCCUAGUGUAGCGGUAAAAUGCGCAGAUAUUAGGAGGAACACCGGUGGCGAAGGCGGCUAUCUGGACAGUAACUGACGCUGAGGCGCGAAAGCGUGGGGAGCAAACAGGAUUAGAUACCCUGGUA